UUGAAUAGAUAGAUGGGCUCAUCCAAACGCGAUUAUCAAUGAUAGGCUCAUCUCAUGUUCGAAUUGAACCCGAAAAGCUGUCGUGGCUGCUUCUUUGGUAACAUACUUUAAGAGAAUGUUCAUAAUCUGUGCUAUACUUUUCACAAAAUUCCUUCAGUAAGGGGAGGCUACAAUUGUUCUGCAUUAUAUGUAUUCUAUCUGACCUGUUGCUUUUAUGUUUGUUAAUGCGGGGCCAGCCAGAUGCCUUCUAUGAUAGCAACAAAAAGGAUUGGACCCAACCCCAUCGCCCAUAUGGUGAAGAAUAUUGCAGAACAAUUCAGAUUGGCACAAAGUCUAGAAAUGUUGCUGUCAAGAUUUGGAACGAGGACUCGGAUGACUUACAAGUGAUUUUAUUUUCUGUGUUUUAUAGGAAGAAGCAAGGUUCCUGAAGGAUGAAACUUUGUGAAUGUGAUCGGUACAUGUUGUGAAGAAAAUGCAAAGGGCACUCACUAUCUAUGACAUCGAUGCCUUGCAUAACAUGACGACAACAAUUUGAGGAUUUCUCUCAUUGAACAAUUUGAAUCUGUUUUCUGGUGUGCUGUUGUAAAAAUGUAUGUGUAAUGGUGGAAGUUGUCGUAGACGCUUCACAUAUUUGUGCCUAAGUUUGUUGCAGC
rnacentral:lncRNA from 1 species